rnacentral:rRNA from 1 species
AUGAUGUUUGGGAUUGAUCUCAACAUGAGUCCUCAACAAGAUGAUGCCUCAGAACCUGCAGAUCAACAGGAAGAACACAACAGUCAACAACGAUACAACAAUGAAGAACCAGUCAAUAAUGAAGCAACAGGGGAAGAAGCAAGUGGUGUAGAGGAACCAAUUCAUGAAGAAGCAAGUGGUGUAGAGGAAACAAUUCAUGAGGAAGCAAGUGCUGUACAGAAACCAAUUCAUGGGGAAGGCAGAGAACUCACAAAUGAGGAGAGAUAUGGUAUUUAUUUUGGACUCACGGUGAUCAAGACCCAAAAUGGACAAGUUCUGAAAAAAUACAAGGAGGUCAUUGCUAGCCUACUCGAUACAACCGUAAGAACUGUUGAGAGAAUAUGGGAAAGAGCUCUUAAACGGAUUGAACAAGGGGAGAAAGUUGAUGUCUCAAAUCAAAAGCCAGGCAGAGUUGGCCGCAAGCGGAAAGAUUUGGAUCUGUCGAGGGUGGUGACAAUCCCAUUGAACAGAAGGAGAACAUUGCGAGGUCUGUUAAAGGCAUUGGGCGUAAGCUGCACAACCUUACACUCAAGGUUCGAGUGGGGUCAUUUGAGGCAUCACAGUAAUAAGGUGAGGCCCCACUUAAACAUAUCCAACAUUGUAAAGAGAUUGAAAUGGUGCUUGGCUAUGUGUGAAGAUUAUUGGUCUGCGACACGGGAAUUAGACAACAUAGCCUAUAUGGACGAAAAGUGGUUCAACAUGAUUGGGGAGGUGAACAACUACUAUUUGUUUCCCGAAGAACCCGACCCCUUACGCACCUUGCAUCAUAAGGAUAGCAUCGCCAAGGUUAUGUUUCUCGCUGCCGUGGCUAAACCAAGAUACGGCGAAGGUGGUAAGGUCACGUUUGAUGGAAAGCUCGGCAUUUGGGCUUUUGUCACAGAGUCUCCUGCUCAAAGAACAAGUGAAAAUAGAGAUAAAGGGACGCUCGAGCUCAAAUCAUUGAAAUUCACACCAGAUGUAAUGAGGUAUUACAUGUGUGAGAAACUUAUUCCUGCGAUCCAAGAGCGCUGGUUGGACGAAGAUGAAGGACGGACAAUUUAUAUCCAACAAGAUAAUGCCACACCAUAUAUUCUUCCCGAUGACCCGGUUUUCCGACAAGUCGUAGAACAGACUGAUUUGGAUAUUAAGUUGCUUCAACAGCCUCCAAACAGUCCUGACAUGAACAUUCUUGAUCAAUGCAUAUUUAGGUCUCUCCAGACCCACACCGAUAGCAGAGCACCUCAAAGCAUCAGGGAACUGAUAGAAGGUGUGGAGGAGGAAUAUCGAAAUUGCCUGGUUGAUAAGCUAGCUAGAAGCUUCGUGACGCUGCAGUCAUGCAUCCGAGAGGUAAUGAGAAACAAAGGAGCGAUAAACUACUCGAUCCCUCACAUGAGAAAGGAACGCCGUCAGGCAGAAGGAUGGCUUCCUAUAACUCUAUCUAUCGAUCGUGAGCUAGUUGAACAGACCAUAGCCUUUAUAGAAGAGGCAAAAGCAAUCUUAGCAGCAGAAAAAGAGCAGAAGCAGCAAGAAAAGAGCCGCAGCAGCCUCCAGGAAGCAGAAACACCCUUUGAAUACCAGCAGCCUCCAAGCAGCAGGAAAAAAGAAUCACGAGCCUUCAAGCAGCAGGAAAAGAGUACCAACAGUCUCCAAGAAGCAGGAAAGGAGCAGCAACAGCCUUCAAGCAACAGGAAAAGAGCACGAGCAGCCUCCGAGUAG